rnacentral:lncRNA from 10 species
UGGCUAAUUUCUGCAUUUUUAGUAGAGAUGGGGUCUCACCACAUUGGCUAGGCUGUUCUCGAACUCCUGGCCUCAGGUGAUCUGCCCGCCUCGGUCUCCCAAAGUGCUGGGAUUACAGGCGUGAGCCACUGUGCCCAGCCACAAUUGAAAGUUUUUGUUUUUGUUUUUGUUUUUUUGAGAUGGAGUUUCACUCUCGUCACCCAGGCUGGAGUGCAAUGGCGCGAUCUUGGCUCACCACAAUCUCUGCCUCCCUGGUUCAAGCGAUUCUCCUUCCUCAGCCUCCCAAGUAGCUGGGAUUACAGGCAUGCACCACCACGCCGGGCUAAUUUUGUAUUUUUAGUAGAGAUGGUGUUUCACCACGUUGGUCAAGCUGGUCUUGAACUCCUGACCUCAGGUGAUCCGCCUGCCUCGGCCUCCCGAAGUGCUGGGACUACAGGCGUGAGCCACCGCGCCCGGCCCCAGUUGAAUGGUCUUAAUGGCUCUUUUUGCAAUUCUAGAACCAGGCACAGAUCAUUCUAUAAAACAGAACGAGGGCUCUGGCGUGCUGGGUAGAGGAGGUUGGUUUUGUAGACAGAAAGGGGCUGAGGAAGCAGACACAGAACAAAAAGCAGAUCGGUCAUUUCCAAGAGGUUUUCCUUGGAAGGUUCCAGCAGAGGGGACUUCCUCAUCAUGCCGGCAAGACCUGGCUUGUUUGGGGCUAUUCUCUGUCUCCUGGUUUCCUGGAAGGUGAGAUGAACAAGUUAGUUUUGGCUUGAUGACGUGGAGCUCUAGCACGAGUGGCUGCGUUUUGGUCUGUUCUGCCAGGCCUCCUGCAGGAGCUCAGGCCAGACCAGUGGCCUCCUACGAAUUUUAUCAAACGCGACUCAGACGAUGCCGUUCAGGUGAGUGGAACGUGCACAGCGCUGCUCCCCAACUCCCUGUCCGACUUCUAAAUCUCUGCACUUUCAGCCUAAACGUCUGGAGAUCCGGAGAACAAGUCCUCCAAGGCGGGGUCUCCCUGAGAUGGCCCCUGCAGCUGGGCAAAAGGUCCCUCCAGACCACGUGGCCCUUGUGUUGGGAGCGGAGACUCAUCAGGGCGGGGAGGGCCUGAGACCGUGGGAGCAGAGGCUCGGCCGGGCAGCAGCUCUCCCUGCCCUCAGGGGGCCAUGAGCUCCGCAGGCCCCAGAGCCCUGUGUGCACUUUUCACGCUUUUUCUCAGGCAAGGUUGAGAACCAAGCCCAGCACUGCCUGGUCCAGCCCCUGGGAAGGAAGGCAGGGCCGGGAGCCCCUCCUGCCGCCAGCAGCGACCCUGUCUCGGAAGGUUGUCUUUUCAGGGACGCUUGUACAGCAGACAGCCUUGGAAGAAAGAGAGAGAGUCUCACUCAGGAGCUCAGGACAGGUAUGCUUACUGCCUGUUAUAAAAGAUUCGGGUUCUCUAACAACAGGGUCAUCUCCUGCAAUGCACACCGCUGCUUGCAGGGGUACCUCACCCUCUUCACAUCCCCCCACAGGAGCUGGGGCUCAGGAGCCAUGGUGCACGGACAUGCUGGCCCUGACUCUGCACUACUGGGGGGUGAUAAAGACCUUUGUAUCUGACCCAGGAGUCUCGUGUCCUCUGCCUGCAUUCAUGAAACUGUGGGUGGCUACCUCGUUCAUUCGCAAGGACCUGUGAAAGGAAAAUAAAUCUUGGGACCGCAAAGUCACUAAGCCAAAGGGAAAAGUCACACUGGGAACUGUCAGGCGAGCCUGCUCCCAUUUUAUUCCCAAAUAAGACAGAUACAGAGAUUAAAAAAACAAAAAAGCCACACACCUCCCUCACAAUUUGUGCACAAGGAAAUUCCCCGUGGGGCUCAAGAUCUUUACCCUAGAGCAGUUGUGUGGGAUUUCACCCUGGCAAUGUCAGUGGACAGCUUACCUUCACAGGUGCAGAUGAAGGACAGAACUCAAAGCCAUCCCUCUGCUCCCCUGAGACAAACGCAUAUCUGACUGCUUCCUCGGCCCUGUUGUCUCACUGAGCCAGACUAAGGCACACGUGGCCCUUCCCCUACCCCCUCUCACAUGUGGAUUGUGUAUUCAGUGAAAGGCUGAUCAGAGACUCAUAGAAUGCAACCAUCUAUUGCUUAUCAACAUUAACUGGAAGCCGCUGCUUCGAGUUGUCUCAAGUUGUCCUGCCUUUCUAGACCAAACCAAUGUACAUCUUACAUAUGUAUAUAUUUUAAUAUUUAUUUAUUUAUUUUGAGUUGGAGUCUUGCUCUGUUGCCCAGGCUGGAGUGCAAUGGUGUGAUCUUGGCUCACUACAACCUCCAUCUCCCAGGUUCAAGCGAUUCUCC